CUCAUCCUACCAGGGGCUCCUCGGAGUGGAGAGCCUCGGGCAGGGCCCACCAGUGUUCUCCAAACUCCGGUCCACUUGUUCCUUGGCAGGCGGUCAGGGUUUUCGGCGCCAGAGGGUGGGGCAAGAGAGGCUCUGAGGUUCAGAGGGACACACCUGAGAAGACUUUGGCCACUGCGUCCCAAGGAAUGAACCCAUCAGGUCCCGAGGAUCCCUGGGUCCCCUGACCUCAGCAUUCCCUGAACAGAGAGCGGCCACUGGACUCAGGCCCACAUGGAAACAGGAGCUCCGAGGGCUCGAGCCAGGGCCAGCUACCCUGCUACGUCUGCCCACAGGACUCCCGGAUGUGCCAGCCCCAGCCCGAGCCUCCCGCCCCAUCCUGACUGCAGGGAGCCUGAUCUCUCCAGAGGAAGCCUGGCUUCGGCCUUUGUUCAAUGGGCCUGUGACAGCAGCUGCCUUCUCAAUGCUUCUCUUGUCAUCUGCGUCAGACCUGGGUGCCCCCCGGCCCCCCGUGUGGAGUUCUCCCUGAAGACCGCCCGGCAGGAGGGAAAGGAUUGCCACCUGGGGCUCGGGCUAGGAGGAAGGCUCCUGUGGCACCUUCCAGAGUCAGGAACCCUACCCCGGCUUCUACCUCGUCCUCUAAACCGCAGCGCCUUCCACUAUAGGUGAACGCCUGUUUCCGGCAGGGACCACGCGGACAGAGGAGUGUGUUCCCUCCUCGGAAGACCAGUGUCCUAGUCCUCGGGAGCAAGACGGCCGCUGUCCGGCCAGCCCCGUGCUUCCUCCGUGUCCUUGUUCUCAACCUCAAGCUUCCGACCUAUUAAUUCCCCCCGCUCUGCGAAGCCCCGGUCUCCCCCAGAACACAACAAACAAGAGCAAACGUAUUGUCCUCGCCCUCUGACCUGGCCGGUGCUGGGGUGUCCGAGCCAUAGCCCCUGAAGGAGGGAGGUGAGCUGGCGGACGGCGACCCCGCUGGGAGCCUCCCUUUGUCUCCAGGUCCUUUUCAUCCUUCCUGGGCCCGGGUUCCCCGCGCUGGGCCCAGGAAAGGUUAAACCGGUUGGGCAGUCUCUCCCCCUUCAACCCCCAACAGCAUCUAAACUGGGCAACUUGGUGGCAGGAACAAAGCCGGUGUUUGUUGGGCUUCCCUCCUGCCUGGGAGGCUGUUCUCGGACCACGGCAUUCCUGGCUCGGACGGAGGCAACUCAGGGCCGCUGCUCCGGCAGCCAGAACCACGGCCUUGCCACAGGCCGAGGGCACAGGUCGAGGGCUGCAGGUGCACGGAACUAAAACGAAUUCAAGUUAAGAGAAGCUAGUUCUUGGGGCGCCUGGCUGGCUCAGUCGGGGAGCACGCGGCUCGAACUCGCGACCCCGAGAUCAGCAGCUGAUCCGGGGAGAGAUUAAACAAUUUAAAGGAAAAAAAGAAAAGCUAGUUGUUAAACAGAGGAAGUGCUAGAAGCAGGUGUCGAGAGAUAGUUCUUUCGGUAGGUAGGUCAGUGAACAAAUCAAGACCAGAAGCUCUCACCGGGCGUCGAGGCCCUUCCUCUCCUGCUGCGUCCUCCUGCCGUGGAGGCCGCAGCGAGGACGGGUCAGGGCGGCGGGAGCGGCGCGGCGAAAGCGGAGGGGAAGGGGUGACGCGGGCAGGGUGUCCGGUGGGGACAGACGUCCGCACAGACAGA